GUCAUCGUGGUAAGGGGGAGGAAGGGGCAUGACAAGAUGGCCGCGCCAUGAGACUCUCCGACAAGAUGGCUGACAAGAUGGCUGCCGCGGAUAUGAACAUCAUCAAGAUGGCCGCCCCAUGCGACUUCCGCAAGAUGGCUGACAAGAUGGCCGCCACGGAUAUGACAUCAUCAAGAUGGCCGCCCCCAUGCGACUUCCGGCAAGAUGGCCGACAAGAUGGCCGCCCCCAUCCGACUUCCGGCAAGAUGGCGGCGGUGACGUCACGGCUCCCCUUCCGGCUCCCCAAAUGGGGGUUGGAUGCAACAUGCCUAUACUACUUAUGUAGCUAUGACUAUAAAAAUCCUAGUACGUUAUAACUCAGGCAGUAGCUAUGGUUGUAUGAGUGUGGUAAGCUAUAGCUAUAGACCAAACGACCCCGGGUGACAGACGUGUACCUUUAGAUCGUAACAUGUUGCAUUAACUUUUUUUAGAACACUAUGGUACUUGAACAUUCAACAGAAAUGCCGAUAGAUAAAGAUACUAAUAAUAUCCGCAAACAGUUCGUAGAAAAUUCUCGAAAGUUAAGUAGGGUAGUAGAAAUGUUGCCCAUUAUUUCGCAGAAAUGUGGUCAUUUAUAAUUGCUAAAAUAUCCGCUAACAGCUCAUAGAAAAGCUGGCAUGAAAAGUUUGAAAUAUCCCACACAACAGCCUUGCUGUCAUAGUUCUCUGUGUGUGUGUGUGUGCGUCGGUGUGCGUGAGAGAGAAGCAUGCACGCACACACAUGCGUGGUAGUGAACACUCGUCAAAGAUGGCGCUUACAAAAAUAGCGAGACACCAUAACAACGGCUCAUUAUAGUUAUUCCUAGAAUUAUCAUAAUGUGAUGUUUGCUUUCCCAGACUAAUUGUUUUUACUACAAUACACGAUAUUUCAUAAUUGUGUUUAUUACAUAACACUAUAAGCCUUUAGAAUGAUUGUAAUCUUCAGCUGGCUUUCCUGGAAACAUUUUAUUUAUUGGCUAUAAGCCCUGGGAGUAUUUUUAGCCAUCACAGAAUAAUCGCACAAUAACAAUUCAGAAUAUGUUAGGACAAAUAAUUUACAAAGCAGCUUUUUCUUGGAAUGAUGUGCGACAGUCAGCCAGUGCCCAGCUGAACUGGUGUGAAUAACACGUCAGCCACAUUUCGUGGCCAUGACAACAAGCUGACCACUAGGAUUGUGCAAGUUUGCCAGUUUACGGACGUUAAUGAGGAAAAACGCCGCCAACGACGGCGUUUGGUGACGUCAGCAAUGUAUUGUUGGUACGUGAUGAGUUGCCGGCAGGAAGUUGGCGUUCACGUGCUUCGCAGUUUCUUUUGUUAUCCUGUUAGCCUGGGCCGCCAGCUGUUCAGCUUUCUUCUCUCCAAAACGUGAUGCGGAUGCAUGUUUAAAUCUCGUAAUAACGAUUUUUUCUUUAACAGGAACGGAAGCAGGUUGUCCGCUAAUCAGUAAUCGAACUACUACUCGCUGGCUUGAUGGGUUCACGUGCAGCCAUAACCAAUCAGUGCUCGGGGGUCUAGCCACGUGAUCUGCGAGCGUGAGUUUUCUGAGGAAGCGAGUGACGGUGCUGUUUCCGAAGAAGAGCUUGGUGCUCGACAUGGAACCUGUGUAAUUAUAUACACGGAAGAAAUCUGAAUAUUCUCCCCUCCCACUCUCACCAUUUUUUUUUUCAUUAUUCCUUGUGGUUCUUCGAGCGCAAAAAUAAAUCGAUCGCGUCUUUCACCAUGCGUGACCGUGCAUGUCUCUUAGCAACAGUUCUUAUCACAAUCAACACGAGGGCAGAAAAGAGUGACGUGUGUAUACUGUGUAUUCAUACAACUGAAUAUGUUUUAUGUCAUACAGUAAAUUAAUAGGACACAAAGAGGUCUGUGAGAAGUAAAGACGAGUCGAUCGUACCUAAGAGUAAGCCCCUGGUGUAGUGUAGAUAACAUCAUACGCUUGUCCUACUAUCAUUCAGUACACACUUCCUUCAUGAUGAAUAUCAGAUUACGGAGAAAUGAGUGGAAGUGUGUAGGCGCGCGUGUGCGUGUAGUUGUAGUAGUCUAUGUAAUGACUAUCCAAGUGACCGUGUAUAUGUAUCACUCUUACUGACUGUAAUGGCUGUCUUCGAGUCUUGCUGGCUUCUAUAAUGCUUGUCUUAGAAUCUUACUAUCUACAUGACUAUCUUAAUGUCUACCAAAGUAAUGGCCGCCUUAGAAUCUAAUUCUGGACAUGGUUGUCUUAGUCUUACAGUGAGAUAUGCUGUUAGACGGUUUGGACGGUCUGCUGCCUGAAAGUGAAAAUAACUAAAUUCCUGGAAAACAAGAAAAGCAAAAGUGAAACUAUAAAUGGCUCAUUUGAGGGGAAUUCACGGAAUGACUGGCGCUUGCACUGCAUAACAGAUGAUUUAUUCGUUACAAGGGGUAAUAUAACGGGCGAGGGUUGUUUGAGGAAGCCCUCAGAAUGAUCUGGCAUUUUGAAACUCAUCAGAAAGGUCAGGAUGUAUGUGUGCAUGUCUCACCUUCUUGUGGCUGAGAGAAAAAUGCCACCUUUGUCUUGCCCUUGUGGUGUUAGUAUAUUUUACUGCUGGGUCCCUCAGCCAAAUGUAACUGAGCAGAACAUUUGCUAAUUUGUCUUCACCUAUAGUGAGCCUACAGGCUCAGUCUAAAGAAUGAUUGAAAGCAGCCCGAGGUCACAACAUUGACCCACAUUUCCCCCUGUAAGACUAAAGACAACAUUACAUUAAACAAUCAAAUUAGUGUUAAAACUUUGUCAACAAGACAUCAUUAAGUAAAGCUGUGUAAGGAGAAUUGUUUUUAUUUACUCGUCACGUGCCCAGCUCUGUACACAGUCAGGUCAUAAUUACAGCUAGGGUCACAGCCUGCUUUUAAUCUAGUGUUUGUUUUACUGUCUGUAUCACUAUUUACUUUUAUUUAUUCUUUGUUUGUUUGUUUUGUGUCACCAAAACAUGUACGUGAGAGAAGCAGCUCGUCCCGCUCCAGCAGGUACAGGGAGCAGCAGUUAUGGGCUUGCCACGGACACCUGUCGACAAUCCAGCCUCUGAGCUCUAUAAAUCAUUCGUCCCCCUUUAAUAUGUAUUCUGUCAUGUGAUACAGUUGAUAUAGCUAGCAGACCAUUGUUUGUUUGUUUAGGGGGGUCUAUAAACUUGACAGGUUUAAAAACUACAGAUUUAGUGGCUUUCAUCAAACAUUUGCUUUUACUCGACAGGGACUUCAGGCCCCAGCAAUGUCUUCAGAUGACGGACUUUGACAGACAUUUCGUCUCUGGCGGAGCGCCCUGCUAAUAAAAGUGACAGUGAUGGCCGCUCACUACUUUCCAACAAGUCGUUAGUCACCUCGUCUUCUCUCAGCUCAAUGUCUUGUCAGAAUUCAACUGUUCCACUUCAUCUAGUCUGACGACGGUUAAUUGCUGUCCUUCAUGAUGAACAGCUAAUGAGCGACAGAUCGACAACAACGGACGCCGUGACAGCCUGGCCUGAUGUCAACGCACUUCCACGAAGUGGCCCCCGACUACCACCAGUAGCUGUCCCCGAAGGGUGCUCACACUCACCCGCUUUCAAGAUCCUGCUAUCGAAGAUGGCGGCUGAACACCUCUGGUGAUGACCGCAAUCGUUAGUGGAGGAGGUUGUGGGUGGAGGGGAGUGUUUCCAGGAAACCCAGGGUAGCCGGGCUUCUCCUAACUGCCGCGGCCCCGACUACAGUCUCCUUGGAGGCCCAACCACUCGAGGUCAUCCUGGUAGCCACGUGUUAAGUCUCCAGUCAGUCUUCGAUCAAGGUGUUGUGUAGAGACAGGUUCUUUCAUUGAUCAUUAUUCUUGACAUUAUUGUCAUCAUAACAAGAAGCGGAUUGAUCUUCCUGUCUGGGUGCGGUUCUCGUGUAGGUUGAUUCCCCUGGCGUGAAUUCUUUAUUUCGUGACUAGGUGCAAAUACAUUGCAUGAUUUACAUGUGCAUUUGACUGCGUGCUCUGACGAUCGACCCCAAGCUCAUUCUAUAUCUUUUGCAGCCUCGUUAAAGUCAUGCUCGAAAGAACCUCGGGAGUCAAAACCAGUUAUCACACCCUGAAUCAUGCGUAUUUACUCAGUCGCCAUGGUAACACGCUAACAUGAUACUCGCAUAUCAUUCGAAUAGACUACGAACAUACGAACAACUAAAUGCCUGCUGACUGAGGUCACGAUAUCUGGCAAGUCUUCCAGUCUCUUACAUCUCCAUAUUGUGAGGUGCAGUGUCUUAAUGGCAAUAGCACUAUAUAACAGUACUGCUUUAUUACUAGUAGUAUCAUCAUCACAACAGCUAGCCUACUUUUAUAAUGUCACAGGAUUUGAUUUCAUGACCUCUUUUCAAACUCUAGGUGAGCACUGCAAUGGCUUUUAUCAUACAAAUGAAAAAGAAGUAUUUGUUCAGCUUUGAGAAAUAAGUAUUCUGUAACAAUCUACAUCCACUCAUUUAAAAAUAAAAUCGCACUCUGGU